AGAUUGAACGCUGGCGGCAGGCCUAACACAUGCAAGUCGAGCGGUAGAGAGGUGCUUGCAUCUCUUGAGAGCGGCGGACGGGUGAGUAAUGCCUAGGAAUCUGCCUAGUGGUGGGGGAUAACGUUCGGAAACGGACGCUAAUACCGCAUACGUCCUACGGGAGAAAGCGGGGGACCUUCGGGCCUCGCGCCAUUAGAUGAGCCUAGGUCGGAUUAGCUAGUUGGUGAGGUAAUGGCUCACCAAGGCGACGAUCCGUAACUGGUCUGAGAGGAUGAUCAGUCACACUGGAACUGAGACACGGUCCAGACUCCUACGGGAGGCAGCAGUGGGGAAUAUUGGACAAUGGGCGAAAGCCUGAUCCAGCCAUGCCGCGUGUGUGAAGAAGGUCUUACGGAUUGUAAAGCACUUUAAGUUGGAGGAAGGUUGUAACCUAAUACGUUGCAACUUUGACGUUACGACAGAAUAAGCACCGGCUAACUCGUGCAGCACGCCGUA
rnacentral:rRNA from 1 species